rnacentral:pre_miRNA from 1 species
UUUUUAAUAUAAGUAUGUCCCAUGCAAUAUUUGGGAUGUAUUUACAGUAGAA